UUAUAAUCUACGCGUUAGUAUAAUCUAAGAAUAACGAUUUAAGAUACACUGUCAGAAAACUUUGUAUUAAUAACUGAGAUAUAAAGUUUUUUUAUAUAACUAUGUUAUAAAAACGAUACACAACUUCUGCGAUAGCAUAAAGGAGAACCGAUGAAGAGACUUCUGGAUAGAAAUCCGUUGAAAUUUCGACAAAGCACAUUCCUCGUCAUGGUCUUUCGUCGCAACCACUGAACACGCAGCGAAGGCGGACCACUCGCACCGAAGCUCGUUGCGUAUGAUGCAUACAGGUAAUUAUAUUCUUUUCGCCGCUCGCGCGCGUUCACCAGCUACCUUGAUGAGCGGAAUGAGUUGGGUCUGAUCGCGACACAUAUCGCGUAACACAACCGUUCAUUAUAUAGUAAUAUUUCUUUUUUUUUUUAAUCAAACGAGGUGUGCGUGUAUUCUUAUUAAACAUCUAUAACGUAUAACAGAUCAAAGAAGUUUAAAACAUAUCUAUCCUUUGAUAGAAAUGUAUGCAGUUUUUUGUGUAGACAUCCUAGUUAUUGCCUAGUCUUCAUGCAUUCUUAUUAGUUAUAGAAACGUUACGUAGAGCAAGAACUGGAUUCAGUGAUUGAAGCAUUUUAUGAGCAUUUUAUCAACACAGCAAACUCGGUAUCAAUUAAUCGAAUAGUUUUGUCUAGGGUUCGAAGUUUUAGGGGAAAAUAUUUUUUCCAUAAAAUUUUUCAUAUUUUCCUAUCCGGUAACUUCUUGAAAACUGCAUUAAAUGCUAAGGUUCCAAUCUA